rnacentral:rRNA from 1 species
CCCCAGUAACGGCGAGUGAAGCGGCAACAGCUCAAAUUUGAAAUCUGGCCCCAGGCCCGAGUUGUAAUUUGUAGAGGAUGCUUUUGGCGAGGCGCCUUCCGAGUUCCCUGGAACGGGACGCCAUAGAGGGUGAGAGCCCCGUCUGGUCGGCCGCCAAGCCUCUGUAAAGCUCCUUCGACGAGUCGAGUAGUUUGGGAAUGCUGCUCUAAAUGGGAGGUAUAUGUCUUCUAAAGCUAAAUACCGGCCAGAGACCGAUAGCGCACAAGUAGAGUGAUCGAAAGAUGAAAAGCACUUUGAAAAGAGAGUUAAAUAGCACGUGAAAUUGUUGAAAGGGAAGCGCUUGUGACCAGACUUGGGCUUGGUUAAUCAUCCAGCGUUCUCGCUGGUGCACUUGGCCGGCCCAGGCCAGCAUCAGUUCGGCUUGGGGGAUAAAGGCGUCGGGAAUGUGGCUCCCCCGGGAGUGUUAUAGCCCUUCGCGCAAUGCCCUGAGCCGGACUGAGGUUCGCGCAUCUGCAUGGAUGCUGGCGUAAUGGUCAUCAGCGACCCGUCUUGAAACACGGACCAAGGAGUCGUCUUCGUAUGCGAGUGUUCGGGUGUCAAACCCCUACGCGUAAUGAAAGUGAACGCAGGUGAGAGCUUCGGCGCAUCACCGACCGAUCCUGAUGUUCUCGGAUGGAUUUGAGUAAGAGCAUACGGGGCCG